AAUUCCAUAUAGUAAACGGGUGUUUUGCAUUGCAAAACUUAAGGGAAGUUCAGAAGUGCUGACGCGGUCCCGCCACUGUGAUAGGUAGCAAACUCACACAAGCCACCGGUUCUUUUUUGAGUCUGGGAAGGCGUGAGGGAGUGAUGACCUUAAGCCAGGAAACCUGCCCGUUUUAAAUUUGCCGU
rnacentral:ncRNA from 2 species